rnacentral:rRNA from 1 species
CCUACGGGAUGCUGCAGUGGGGAAUAUUGGACAAUGGGCGAAAGCCUGAUCCAGCCAUGCCGCGUGUGUGAAGAAGGCCUUCGGGUUGUAAAGCACUUUCAGUGGGGAAGAAAGCCUUGGGGCUAAUACCCUCGAGGAAGGACAUCACCCACAGAAGAAGCACCGGCGAACUCCGUGCCAGCAGCCGCGGUAAUACGGAGGGUGCGAGCGUUAAUCGGAAUUACUGGGCGUAAAGCGCGCGUAGGCGGUCUGAUAAGCCGGUUGUGAAAGCCCCGGGCUCAACCUGGGAACGGCAUCCGGAACUGUCAGGCUAGAGUGCAGGAGAGGAAGGUAGAACUCCCGGUGUAGCGGUGAAAUGCGUAGAGCUCGGGAGGAAUACCAGUGGCGAAGGCGGCUUUCUGGACUGACACUGACGAUGAGGUGCGAAAGCGUGGGUAGCAAACAGGAUUAGAUACCCUAGUAGUC